rnacentral:rRNA from 1 species
GGCGACCAUAGCAAGAGUGAACCACCUGAUCCCUUCCCGAACUCAGAAGUGAAACCUCUUAGCGCUGAUGGUAGUGUGGGGUUACCCAUGUGAGAGU